AGAGAGCAUGGCAAAGCCUGAGAAGGAAGCCUCUCUGAUUUGGGCUUCUGUUAGCAGAGCCACACCCAUUGGUGCUGACAGCGCAGCCCGCAGCUGACUCCCUCACAAGCUUUCUGCACUGCCGGGCACUGGGGGCAGCUGACUGCCAAUCACUGUCUCUUCACUUCCUGCUCUGCGGCUCUCAGCCCCGGCCCUGAGAGCAGACUGUUCCUGUCUGGAGUCAUUUCCCAGUGUAAAAAUGAGAAUUUCUGCUCUUCUGUUUUGCGACUACAUGAGAUGCUGAGAAGCAGAACGGGGCCAAACUGAACAGUACAGUGUGUGUAAGAUAGUCACAAAGUAAGGUAACAUCCCAAAAUGAAAAGACACCUAUCAAAACUUGACCCUCCUGACCUAGAGUUCCAACCUUUGGUGGUAAUAGAGCUAGCCAAAGAUGCAAAAGAGGAAACUAGAGAAUGGCUUGUCAAGAAAAUAAGGGACAAGAAGAAAGAUGGAGGUACCCAACUGCUGAUCAAACCGCUUGUCAUAUCAAAUGAUGAAGAAUACAUUUACGUUGUUGGUGGUUCCACAAAACGCCUGCUUCUAGGGGCAGAAUCUGUGGGAAUGGUGAAGGAAUGUAUUGAUGGCUCAAUGAAACCUUUCAUUUACAGUAAUCGUAAAGAAUAUAAAGAUUGGACAGAAGAUGGAGAGAAUUUCCUUAGCAUGGCAGAUUGUCAGUAUAUAAUAAAAUAUGAACUGGAUAAUCUUCGAGCUCAAGACGAGAAAAAUAUCCCUGGCUACCCAAAUUCAAAGCUUUAUCCUGGGAAGUCUAUUUUUAGGAGACUGAAAACCAGUGGAAUAAUGAUUCAAGUAUUUCCACUUCAUGAUAAGGAAGAGCUGAAAAGAUUAAGGCACCAGUGGUACCUCAGAAUCAAGCUUGCAUUUCAGCCAAUAGAUCAAAUCCAACACUACUUUGGUGACACACUAGGCUUGUAUUUCGCUUUCUUAGAAUAUUUUACAAUGGCCUUGAUUCCAAUGGCUCUCAUUGGUAUUCCCUACUAUUUUUUUGACUGGGAAGACUACGACAAGUAUGUGAUUUUUGCUACUUUCAACUUGGUGUGGUCAACUGUAAUCCUUGAAGUAUGGAAGCGAUUAAGUUCAGCCAUGACAUACAGAUGGGGCUCUCUGAUAAUGAAAAGAAAGUUUGAGGAGCCCAGACCGGGGUUUCAUGGUGUUCUGGGUAUUAAUCCUGUCACAGGAAGAAAGGAACCCAUUUACUCAAGUUUCAAAAGACAAUUGCGUAUAUAUCUGGUCUCUGUGCCAUUUGUGUGCGUUUGCCUUUACCUAGCCAUUUAUGUGAUGAUGAUCUAUUUUGAUUUGGAACACUGGGCCCUGGCAUACCACCAAGAGCAACAGUCAACUUUCAGCAACCUCCUUCUUUAUGUUCCCAGCAUCAUUUAUGCUGUUGUUAUUGAGAUCCUGAAUCGUAUCUACAAGAUUGCAGCUGAAUUCCUGACAUCAUGGGAAAAUCAUAGGUUAGAAUCUUCCUAUCAAAAUCACCUGGUGCUGAAGGUCUUGGUGUUCAACAUAGUGAAUUGCUUUGCAUCACUAUUCUACAUUGCCUUUGUUAUGUGUGAUAUGAAGCUGUUAAGACAGAGUUUGGCAACGCUGCUCAUCACUUCUCAGAUACUUAAUCAGUUUGUUGAAGCUUUGCUCCCUUACUGGUUACAAAAGAGAUCCAGCAGAAAAAUAAAGAAGAAAGUCAAAUCACUGAACGUGGACACAGAUUACACCUUGUUAGAACAGAUUCACUUGGAGAAAGACAUGGAUACUUAUUUGGGCACUUUUGAUGACUACUUGGAGCUCUUCUUACUGUUUGGCUAUGUGAGCUUGUUCUCCUGCGUUUAUCCUCUGGCAGCUAUAUUUGCAGUACUUAACAAUCUCACUGAGAUGUACUCAGAUGCAUUAAAAAUGUGCCGUGUCUACAAACGACCAUUUUCGCAACCUUCAGCCAACAUUGGAGUUUGGAUGCUGGCAUUUGAAACCAUGGGCAUUAUAGCAGUUGUUACCAACUGUACUCUUCUUGGAAUGUCUUCACAAGUUUCUACACUUUUUCAAGAUUCCAAGAGAGACCUUAUUUUAACUGUUGCAGCAAUAGAGCAUGCACUGCUAGCCCUGAAGUUUAUUUUGGCAUUUGUGAUCCCUGACAAACCAUAUGACAUCCAAGUAAAAUUAGCCAGGUUGGAAUUUGAGUCUAUGGAAGCUCUGAAGAAAAACCAGAUCAAAUUCUUACAUAUAUUUUAGAUUGAAGUGGACAUUUAGGCCACAUCCCUGAUAACCAAAGCCUAGCACAGCUCUGCUCUACCACAAUCCCAAUCACACAGAGGAACCCAACCCACUUUUAUGAGCAAAUGAAGCUUUCCUCUGAGUCACUUACAGACGAUGAAGCCAUGGAUUCUUAAAGGAAAUGGUUGUACAUUGGACUCGUUAUCUUCUCCAAAGAAUUUGUCCUUAAUUAAAGCUUGAGCCUAUUUGGGGCACCACUGCACUUCUCAGGGUGGCAGUUACUUGUCUUCAUUUCUGUCCCUCUGAAGGAUUUACACAUUGUGUUUGCAUUUUAUUACUGCUUACUAUUUAUAUUUUGUGUAGAAACCCUAUUUUUAAUGCUUUGCAUUUAGCUGUAAAUAUAUACUGAGACCACAGUACUCUGCCAGCAAAGAUACAGGAUUAUUUGGCCGGGGGUCAUAUUAUUUAGGACUUGUUAAUUCGAUACAUUAAUCAUCCUGUUUCAUAACCCAGUAUUAUUUAUUUCCAUCUUUAAUUCUGUAUUUUCUGAGGUUCAGAUUUUGUAAACCCCUUAUAAGGCCCUCAUUUAUCAUUAGGAACCACUCCAUACAUAUUUAUUUUCUGUUGACAAAGAACAAGCACAUUGAUUUGCCUUGGCCCAGUUUAAGCUAUAAUCCUGGGUACAAAGGCAACAAGGUCACUCUCACUUCUUUUCACCCAGAGCUAUGUGCCGGCAGUAUAUUAUGUCAGAUUACAACUUAGGCAGAACCUGUUCAGUGCUUUCAUUGUCAUAUUUUUAUUUCAAUAAUUACCUUAUAACAGUCUUGCUUUUAAACUGCUGUAUAACAAGAGCUGCCAUAGUGCCCUUUAUCCUAGGGGACUACUACAGGUAUGGGAUCCGUUAUCCAGAAACCCGAUAUCCAGAAAGCUCUGAAUUACGGAAAGCCUGUCUCCCAUAGACCCCAUUUUAAUCAAAUAAUUCAGAUUUUUAAAAUUGAUUUCCUUUUUCUCUGUAAAAAUAAAACAGUGCUUUGUAUUUGAUCCCAACUAAGAUAUAAUUAAUCCUUACUGGAUGUAAAAUAAUCCUAUUGGGUUUAAUUAAUGUUUUAUUGAUUUCUUAGUAGACUUAAGGUAUGGAGAUCCAAAUUACAGAAAGACCCCUUAUCAGGAAUACCCUUGGUCCCGAGCAUUCUGGAUAACGGGUCCUAUACCUGUACUAUAUUCUGUAUAAGGUUGGUCUCUAGAAUCCCAUAAAAUUCCUCCUUAAAAUCAAAAGGAAUGAACAUAAAGUGCACAGUUAUUCAUUUCAUGCCACAAAGCUGAGCCCCAGUAUAAAUCUGGGUCCCCAGGGUGGAGCGGGGGGGGAGGGGUCCCUGAUGGGCACAAAUCCUUCAUUUUUUCACCACCAACUCUUAAUUAGCUACUUAUUUUUUCUUCUUUUUUUUAAACUGUAUUAUUAAUCAGUGUUUCCUUAAUUACAAUUAUCUAAUACAAACCAAUGUGAAUAAGUGGGAGGGGCAAAUCAAUACAGAUUUAUUGUAUCUGCAUGUUAAAUAAAUGUCACACAUCAAUGGCUGA